rnacentral:rRNA from 1 species
CCUACGGGAGGCAGCAGUAAGGAAUAUUGGACAAUGCCCGCAAGGGUGAUCCAGCCAUGCCGCGUGCAGGAAGAAGGCCCUAUGGGUCGUAAACUGCUUUUACACCGGAGAAAACCUCCCUUCGUGAAGGGAGCUGAUAGUAUGGUGAGAAUAAGCAUCGGCUAACUUCGUGCCAGCAGCCGCGGUAAGACGAAGGAUGCAAGCGUUAUCCGGAUUCAUUGGGUUUAAAGGGAGCGUAGGUGGACUGAUAAGUCAGUGGUGAAAUCUUCGAGCUUAACUCGGAAAUUGCCAUUGAUACUGUUAGUCUUGAGUACAGUUGCUGUGGGCGGAAUAUGACAUGUAGUGGUGAAAUACAUAGAGAUGUCAUAGAACACCGAUUGCGAAGGCAGCUCACAAAGCUGUAACUGACACUGAGGCUCGAAAGUGCGGGGAUCAAACAGGAUUAGAUACCCUGGUAGUCCGCACUGUAAACGAUGAUUACUCGCUGCUAGAGGGCAACUUUUAGUGGCUUAGCGAAAGCGAUAAGUAAUCCACCUGGGGAGUACGCCGGCAACGGUGAAACGUCAAANAGAGUUAGAGNGNGAGAGNGCGAGGCGACGACGAGGGAGAGG